AUUAUCUUGACCUGCCAAAUUGAGUGAAAAUAAAUGUGAAACAUAGAGUUUUUUUUAUACGGACUUUACAACAACAACUCCAUAUAAAAAAACUCUAUGUUUCACAUUUAUUUUCACUCAAUUUGGCAGGUCAAGAUUAUUCUUACCGAUUCAAUUGAGACAAGCGAAGAAAGUAGCAAAUCGAAAGCAAGCCUAAACAUGAAGUUCGUACUCGUAGCAGCACUUGGCGGGAUUUUGAUUUGAGGCCGUCAAUUUACUACAGGAGUUGGAGCGUCACCGUUCGUAGAAGAGAUGGAGAUGCCUUUUGAACGAGAGCCUCUUGAAGAAGGCUUUAUCAGCUUCAAACAAGGAAAUUUAUCAGCUGCUAACGAGGUUUUAUGUUCGAUCUGCAGAAUUGUUGAUGUAUUCCUUAAAAAACAAAUUACUGAAGAAACUAGAAAAGAAAUCAUAUCUAUUCUAAGAGAUCAGUGCAAGAAGGUUGACAAGAUCUUCCCAACUUGUGAGGAAAUUGUCAAAAUGGAGGAUGACGACCUUGAGUUGCUGAUUAAAAAUGAGCCCGAAGUAUUUUGCGAGAAACUUAUGGUUUGUUAAAGAAUCAGUAUGAGAAUGCAAAUUAAAGGCAAACUCUUUCGAGUAAUUAUCGCCAAAAAUGGAUACGGCACAAAUAUGAAAGCCUGUUCCAAUUAUUUUUUUUGCAAAAAU